CGCAACCGACGGGAUUCGAACCCGCGAGGGGAUGAGACCCCAAUGGAUUAUAAGUCCAUCGCCUUAGACCACUCGGCCACGGCUGC